rnacentral:rRNA from 1 species
UUGAUCCUGGCUCAGAAUCAACGCUGGCGGCGUGCCUAACACAUGCAAGUCGAACGAGAAAGUGGAGCAAUCCAUGAGUAAAGUGGCGACCGGGUGAGUUACACGUGACUAACCUACCCUCGAGUGGGGAAUAACCUCGGGAAACCGAGUCUAAUACCGCAUAAUAUCGCAAGAUCAAAGCAGAAAUGCGCUUGAGGGGUGGGUCGCGGCUGAUUAGCUAGUUGGUAGGGUAAUGGCCUACCAAGGCUUUGAUCGGUAGCCGGCCUGAGAGGGCGCACGGCCACACUGGAACUGAAACAUGGUCCAGACUCCUACGGGAGGCAGCAGUGGGGAAUUUUGCGCAAUGGGGUAAACCCUGACGCAGCAACGCCGCGUGGAGGAUGAAGUCCCUUGGGACGUUAACUCCUUUCGAUCGGGAAGAUACUGACGGUACCGGAAGAAGAAGCACCUGCUAACUCUGUGCCAGCAGCCGCGGUAAUU